CAAGGAAUUUUCCACAAUGGGCGCAAGCCUGAUGGAGCAACGCCGCGUGGGGGAUGACGCUUUUCGGAGUGUAAACCCCUUUUCUCGGGGACGAAGCAAAUGACGGUACCCGGGGAAGAAGGCCCGGCUAACUACGUGCCAGCAGCCGCGGUAAGACGUAGGGGCCGAGCGUUGUCCGGAGUUACUGGGCGUAAAGGGCGCGCAGGCGGUUGGUUGCUGUCGGGUGUGAAAGCCCCCCGCUUAACGGGGGAGGGUCAUUCGAGACGGAUCAACUGGAGGCAGGGCGAGGUCGGUGGAAUUCCCGGUGUAGUGGUGAAAUGCGUAGAGAUCGGGAGGAACACCAGUGGCGAAGGCGGCCGACUGGACCUGACCUGACGCUGAGGCGCGAAGGCGUGGGGAGCGAACGGGAUUAGAUACCCCCGUAGUCC
rnacentral:rRNA from 1 species